CUCUGGGUCACCGUCGGCAUCGGACACUGAGACUCGAGCCACGUAGUCGCCUGGGUGGGCGCCCUCAGAGACCUGGACCGCACCUCCCUCGGUGAGGAAGAGCAGGUGGAUGGCAGGAGGGUUGUCAUUCACGUCCAGCACGUCAAUGGACACGCGCACGGUGGCUACCUCUGGCUCGGCGCCCCCGUCGCGGGCCUGGACCACCAACUGGUGCCAGGCCUGCUCCUCCCGGUCUAAAGGUCUUUGCACCCGCACUACGCCGCUCAGCUCCUCCACAGAAAAAUAACCCGGAUCGCCCAGUGGCCCACCACCUGCGCUCGCCACGGGCACUUGCCGCUCCCGGAUACUGUAGCGUACCAAGCCAUUGGGGCCCAAGUCGCGAUCAGUAGCACGCACGCGACAAACCUCAGAGCCCGGCUGGGCGUCCUCACGUACUGUGGCGCGGUACUCGCCCUGCUCGAAAACUGGCGGGUUGUCGUUCUCAUCCAACACACGCAGCUGCACGUGCAGGAGGCCGGUGCGCCGAGGGCUGCCACCGUCCCAAGCUUCAAUGUGCAGCUCGUGCGCUGCCGCCGCCUCUCGGUCCAAGCGCCGCAGCAGCACCAAGUCUAAGGGUUCCAGCGGUGAUGAGGACACCGGCAGGGAAGGCGACGCCGGUAACCCCGGCGUCCCAUAGCGCAAUUGGAAGAAGGGUACUGUGGGAUCCUGGGGCAUGUCAGAAGCUUGCAGCAAAGUGUAGCCCUGGAUGCUGAACAGUCCCGCGUCCGGGUCCUGGGCUCCUGGCAGGCGGAACGCUGUCCCGGGCGGGCUGAGUUCGGACACGUCCAGCUGCAGGGAGUCGCGGGGAAAGCGAGGGGAAUGGUCGUUCACGUCGUUGACGCGGAUCUCCACCUGUACCACCUCUCCCAACAGCGUGGCGGCCACGAAGCUAUAGUGGUCCUGUCGCUCGCGGUCCAGACGCCGAGCGGUGCGGAUGAUACCAGUGUCCGGGUGCACGUGGAAGUCGUCCAGCAGCGGGGAGUCAUCCGAGUCCUCCGAAAGAAAAAAGCCAUUCCCAUCCUGUUGCUGAGCUGCUGGCAACCCCGCGCGAAUGUCACCCACCAGUGUGUCUGGGGGCAGCCCCUCGUCCACCGAGAGGCUGAGGUUGAACACCUGGGCAGAUGAGCCCGAGGCUGCCCACAGCCAGGCGUGGACGAAAAGCCGGAGCAGGGAGCUCUGCGCCCCGGCGCCGCGGGGCCGCCCACGGGGUGACCCAGCCGGCUGACGCCCUUCACCCAUCCUUCGCCCAGCAGGGCUCAUUUCUCCUCCAGCUCUUUAGGAAGAAGGCUCCGGCUAGCUGCCAGCUUGUAUUGGGAUCUCAGAGCAACCCAGGAGCCUCUUCAGUAUUAAGCCAGGGAAGAAAAGACUUUGGCAAACAAACGAAAAGACCCGGGAGUUCCCAAGGUGGCAUCUGCAACUGGUGCAGACGUCCUCUGGCCGCAGCUCACGCAGGCGGGGGCGGCUCUAGCUGCCUCUGCCUCCGCGGCCACCUCUCCAGCCUCUGGAUGUCUUUAAGGGAGUCCCAUCGCUUUUUCUCUCUUCUUCUAUUCCUUUUACAUCUGUUCCUUGUUCUGCUCGGCUGGCUGUUUCCCCCUGGUAAAGUCAGGUGCAUUAUUUCUUUUGCCAAAAAGGAGGAAAUUAUUUAAAGCGCGCACACGGAGAGGAAGGGGAUCCGGCCGGGAAGGGGGUGGAGAAAGGGCGGGGAGGCCGAGGGGGCGCGGGGCGGGAGGAACGGUGGGAGGGGCCGCUCGGGCAGCAGACUGCUACAGGGGCGGCCGCUCCCCCACCCACCCCACUCCACCUCCCGCGUCUCCCGGCGCUGGGGACUCCGUGGAGCCCCCUCUGACUGGGCCUCCUACUCCUUAGUCCCCUCCCCGUGCGUGAUGCGGCUCGCACCGGGAUGAAUUCCAACCUGCGAGCCUCGGUUCUGUAGAAGGACUAAAAAACGGCUAGCCGGAUGGACACGCAGCCCCAGACAGUGAUGCUGAUGGGGUUGUCUGGCUUGGCUUUGCGUGCAAAGUGUACUGGGUUAGGGAAGAGGCCAGUAGCUUGCCCCUAAGCUCGCUCUCUCCAUCCUCAGAACAGCCCCUGCAGCGAGCCUGCCCAUGGCUCCAUGUAAGGUGGGGGUUAUAUGGUCACUUUAAGGAGACAAACUUGUGCUCUCUAUUUGGCGAGAGAACCCCACCUCCUCAGCGGAAGGACAGAUGGAGUCAAAAGGAGAUGCACAGCUGGGGCCAGUUUGACUGUAAAGCAGGGAAGGCGGAACUUGGAGAAAAAAAAAAAGAAGAAGAAGAAAGGAGAAAGAAAACUUCCAGAAAUCCCGAAAAAAUCUGUGACACACAUGGCACGCUUUAUUAUGCCGAGCUACUAUUUAGCAGCGUGCUAGUGUCUUGUCACUCCCCUCUGCCACCUGUGAUGACAACAAUGGAUGGAGCUUGCGGACCUUUUUAGGCAUCCAGCGCCAUCAUACCUGCCAGCAUAUUUUAUGAUGAUGAUUUAUGUGCGGAUUGACCUUGUGGCAUAAGCCCCAGCACACGGCUUUACCUCCAGCCCUAUGAGAAGAACCUUGCAGGGAUCUGAUAGCUCUUCCAAAGUAGCUUAGGGUUGAAUCCAAAGACAAUUCACCUCAGCCUGUGUAGUCUCGGGCUUCUCUCCUGCUAUCCACAGCUAUAGAUGGAAACUGACAAAUGGCCUCUAAUAAAGUAUGCUCCACCAGAGGAGUCUGCUCUCUUGAGAGCGGCCAGCCAUAUGUAGCAAAAGGUUUCUGCAAUUUUGCAUUUCAGCCAGAAGGAAGAAUUAAUUUCCUAGAUACUGUUCUGUGCUAGGGGGAGACCAAAAGGCCAGCAUACAGUUCCCCAGAAACCCCAGUGAAACGCCUUCUUAUAUUGAGUGGCCUAUGCAUGCCAUUGCUAAUUAGCAGCCACACCAACCUGUACCCCUGAAAAAAUAAUAAUCAAAUGAUUUUCUUGGCAGUGUUGUAUGUAACCAGAGAUGCUAUUAAAAUAAUGUCAGCCUCCCUUUUAUCGAUCAAGUGCCUUUAAGCAUUUGGGAGAUCAGGCUUGAGCCUUUGGAGUCUUCUUUCCAACUUAAUGCAAAGGCAUCAGGAGUCUUACAAAGCACCACAACUACUGCCACCACUGGUCCCUUCUGAGGUGGUUCUCCACCAAGCAUUCAGACUGUUUCUAAAGCCAACACUAAGCCUUUAACCCCUAUUCAGAACCUACAUGAUAGCUUCUUGUUUCAGACUCCUUCCUAAAUUGCCCACCUUGCUCUUCUUCCCUGCUCAUUGCAGAAUCUUUGAGUUGUUGAGCUUCCCUGUCUAGAUCUCUUUUUGCCCCCCCCCCCCAAAACAGGCUCCUUCUCCUUCAGGUCUCAUGUAAGAUGCCAACUGAGGGGACAUCUCCCUGACUACCCUCCUUCUAGUGGGAGGGUAAACCUAGAUCCUCACAUUCUAUUUCAUUCAAAGUGCCUUUAAGUACCUGAGAUCAGCUUGUUUGGUUCAUCUGCUUGGUCUAUUACUCCAAUCUUACCCUCUUCAUAGACUUAAAGCGCUGCUUUAACCCACUCCCCAUGAGAGAGUCUGAGAGAGUGUUUGGUGAAUAGUAGAUCACUCUUCACUGUAUGUAUCCAGUGGCUGGAAUAACUGAUAGGCAGAUAAAUGGAUGAACUUUUAAACUGGAACUUGGAAACCACAACUAAAGAGUAACUGGCCCUGAGGUCCUUCACUGUACUGAGUCCCAGCUUUGCCUUGCUGGUUUUACUCAUCCUGUGAAUCUCCUUUGAACCUUUUCAGCUUAUGUGAAACUAUCAUCGUCCAAUAUUUCCUUGGCACUAAGAGAAAAAGCGGAUCUUCUUCCUGCACAUGGCACUGACACGGACUUUGUUAACAGAGGUUUAGUUUUGAACAAAUGGGAAAAUAAAGCUUUGGAAACCUG
ensembl:lincRNA Gm10710 predicted gene 10710